rnacentral:tRNA from 3 species
GGCCUCGUAGCUCAGGGGAUAGAGCAGCAGCCUUCUAAGCUGUUGGUCGCAGGUUCGAAUCCUGCCGAGGUCGCCA